rnacentral:lncRNA from 1 species
CUUAGUGGGCUUUCGGAAUGAAAUCUCAAUCUGGGCUAGAAGACCGGAAUCAAGCUGAAGGCUAAUGGGCCAUUCCCAUUACAGUCCGGAAUAGGAAUCCCAAACCGAUUCAUACGAACCAAACAAAAUUAACCGGAUUUGAUCAAACCGAUUUCCAUUCCAUACCCAAAAUGGAUGAACCAAACAAGCCCUAAGGAAGCCAUGCACUAUGACCCUUAAUUCUAAGGUUGAAAUUGUCAUAAUGUCACUAUCACACUUUUACUCACAUUUUUUACUUUCACUGGUAUCAUAUACACUACUAUGUUCUUGUACACAUGCCACACUUGUUUUCUAAGUGUUCCAACUCUAGUAUUCUCGACUCAUCAAUAUCACUUUCUACUUCUAUGUCAAGAUGUCACAUUUGUUUACUAAGUCCACUAAGUUCUUAUCUCUUGUCAUACAUAAAUAGGGUUAUAAAAUUCUCACAUUCUUACUAGUAACUCACAUGCACUUGUACUCACAACAUACAAUAAAUGACUCAAAUAUAACCCUACUAUGCAAUUUAUGCUCAAUACACAUAUACUCAAAUAUGACACUUUAGACAUAAA